AACGAACGCUGGCGGCAUGCCUAAUACAUGCAAGUCGAACGAACACUUCGGUGUUAGUGGCGCACGGGUGCGUAACGCGUGGGAAUCUACCCUUGGGUUCGGAAUAACAGUUAGAAAUGACUGCUAAUACCGGAUGAUGACGUAAGUCCAAAGAUUUAUCGCCCAAGGAUGAGCCCGCGUAAGAUUAGCUAGUUGGUAGGGUAAAGGCCUACCAAGGCUACGAUCUUUAGCUGGUCUGAGAGGAUGAUCAGCCACACUGGGACUGAGACACGGCCCAGACUCCUACGGGAGGCAGCAGUAGGGAAUAUUGGACAAUGGGGGAAACCCUGAUCCAGCAAUGCCGCGUGAGUGAUGAAGGCCUUAGGGUUGUAAAGCUCUUUUACCCGAGAUGAUAAUGACAGUAUCGGGAGAAUAAGCUCCGGCUAACUCCGUG
rnacentral:rRNA from 1 species